GUUUAAAUUACCCAAAUAAACUACACUAAAAAUAUUCUCAAAAAUGUUUCCACCAUCUUUCAACACCGAAUAUACACUCGUCAAAAAAUUCAAUUUCACUUUCUCAAUCCAAAACCCUGUCGAAACUCCUCCUGAAUAAUCAAAACCAUCCAAUAAUAUUCCCAAACAAAUUGACGAGCACAACAGUAUUUGCACAAUAAUCUCUCAUGUCUAGACUUGCUUCCUGGGAGCGUCGAGAACGGGGUUAAGUUCGAGCGCGUUCCAGACAGUAUCGUAUGCGCUGUCGAUCAUUUGCUGUCUAUCUGUUUUCCACUAGCUCUAUUUUUCCCUAGGAAACUGGACAGGGGGAUAGUGGCGGGAAGACGGGCGUGCAGCUGUGGCCGAAUCUAGGUCCGAUUCUGGGCUGGAAUCACGUGCACAUUGCUGUUGACUGCACUUUGAAAUCGGGGCUACGUGGCUCGCGGGGGGGCGAUAAAGCCGCCUCUGAGGCCGUAUCCGAUCGAACGAGGACGAGCAUGCACUAGUGGAGGAUCUGCUUGUAUAUGCACGAAUCACGAGAAGGAAAGCUCGAGCGCCUCGAACAACCGUUUUAUCACACAUGAAAAUCGAUGAGGAGUGAAGAUCGAGAUAACACUGGAAGAAGUACUAUCAACGAUUGAAGUUCUCUAAGCAAGUUUACGAUUUGAUGGGAAAUAUUUACUUCUCCUUCAUAUAAAAUUCUUUCCUAGUUAUUCUUUCUGCGUCUCAAUUCAUCCGGCCUUGAUCCAGAGGAUGUGAAAAAUAUCAGUGGCAAAUGGGACGCAACACGAUUGUAAAGAAGAAUUGUAAACAAGUACAAGGUUCGCCGAAUAAUAAGCCAGACCUUAACGACAUUAA